AGUAUUUUGAAUUAUGUAGACAAUAUAUCCAUUGUGUUAGAUGUAUUAUUCAUAUUAGAUUAAAUUAAGAAUCUUGAGAUCAUUCUUACUGCUUUCUAUUGUGCCUCAGAAAUCCUAAGGCAUAUUCUAAGAUAAGUUAUCUGAAGUUCGUGGAUGCCAGGUAUUCAUUUCCAUUCUGCAUCUUCAGUGUGAUAUAUGAGAGCAGGGUUGUUCAUUUCAUCCUUUUCCAGAUGGGCACGAUAAUGAGAUGCGUGCAUUUUUCCAUUAAAAUAUUUUCUGAUAAUCAUUAAAAUUGGUUAUCACCAACAAAAGACACAGGAAUGAAAGGAUAAUCAUUUUUGUUCUUUAAGAAAACAGAUGUAACUUGGUAAUGCUUUAUUCUGUCAGAUUUCUAAGCCCUUCAGAAACACCAAUCCAGAAUUUCUCUGCAUUGAUCACCCGCCUGCAGUCAAGCUGACAAAAUCCCAACUGAAGAGCAUGCGGAUCAGAGGUUGUGGCAGGAGUAAAGUAUUAUUAACCUGUCUGUCACCGUGACGAGUCCAGGGAGGACACUGGGCUCUUGUCCAUAUCAGCUGUACUAUAUGGAUGUCCCUUGCCCUUUGUGCCCUACUUUCCUACUUCUAAUUGUGGUUCCCACUUUAGUAUAUCUUGAUAAGUCAACUGUAAGCUCUUUGAUGUGUUGUGUGUGUUUCUCAGUCUGAUAGUCCUAGUACUAAGACCAAUUCAGUAUAUAGACAUUUACAAGAGGUCUUUGGCCUCUUCAGAUUUCUGUUUGUUUUUCUCUUUGAAGCUGCUGAAUGAUAAAUAAGAGUUCAGGGCAGGCAUUCUCAACCCUGGUCAAAAUGGAGUCUUGGAGUUUCUUUUGUCAGGAGAAAGGUGACCCACAGGCAAAAUUUUAUGUAAAAACCAAGUUUGUCUUGGGUACUUUUCAACUUCUUUUCAGGGGGUCUUCCUAAGGCCCUCCUUUACUCAUCCCUCAUGGUUGCCUUUCGCCCUCUAAAAGCCCUAUGGUAGCAGUUUGUCAGGCCUGCAUCCUCAGUUAGAUCUGGACUUCUCCACUUCAGAACUUUCCUGUUGGGCACCUCUAGCUAAGAGAGAGAAGCUCACAGCUGAAAUUUGUGAGAGAAAAUCAAGAAUGGCAAUGUUUACUGUGCUGCCCGUCCUGGGAAUGCUUUUAUUUAAAUAGGCAAGACUCUCCAGUGGUACAGUAUCAGGCAGCCAUGUGCACAUAUUCUCAGGAGGUGUAGCACAUUAAACAUGGCCAUUCUGUAACACUAGAGUGUUAGGAGAUGUGUUUUACCAAAGCUAUAUUCUAGGCAUUAAACCUCAGCAUUUAGCAGCAACAAUCAAAUUCCUACAGAUGAGUGCUGUAAUCAUUUAUCACCUCAAGAAGGCCAAAAAUUUGAAGACUUCUAAUUCUGUUAAUUGUCAAAAAAGUCCUGAAAUGAUAAUGAACCUAUAAUUUGACUAGUGAUCAUCCCCAAAUUCCAUGAAACGGAAUUGUUUCCCGUGGUCAGCAUCUGUAGCAAUUAUGAUACAGUGACAAGCCUAUACAUGAUUAUAUAAGCCUAUGAGGCAUGAUCAAAAAUGAAGGUGGAUGUUUAAAUAUUUUAAUUUCAAUAAGAGAUAUACUGCCAUUAAUCCCCCUCACCUUGAGCACACUUAUCCCAUUAUUUUUGCCACUUUCUGAAGCAGUUCUGAAAGUCUACUUUCAUGAGUGUCUUUGCACUAUUGUAGCUGCCUCAACGUCCUGAAUCAAUUUAAAAUGUUUAUUUUUUAUGGUCAUUUUGACUGUGGGGAAGAGUCAGAAGUCACAUGGUGCCAGAUCUGGUGAGUAAGGGGGACGGAAAUACAGGCAUGUUUUCACAAGCCUGCCUUUCUGUUGGAUAGUAUUCGGCAGCUGCGUUCACUGCAUCUUUUAAUCACACUUCCCAAAGACAUAAACACUUCCCAGAACUGCUUCCGAAAGGGACAAGAACCAUGGUAUAAGUGUGUUCAUGAUAAGGGGGGAAUAUUUUUGAGGGUGUUUAAUAGCAAUGUGCCUUUUAAUGUAAUAAAUUUUUAAAUUUUAAACAUUCACUAUAUUUUUUAGUCACACCCGGUACACUUGCUAAUAUUCAACAGAUGAACACAUAUACUCUGAUUUUUUUAUUUGGCCCUUUCCUGUACUAGAAGUUUCCAUUUAAAUGAAUCCUCCUACAUUUUCCUUUUACUACCUAAUUGAACACUUCUUCCCCUAAGCAGGAGGACAAUGGGAUUCUGGGAAAUAAAAGUCAAGAGCUCCAAGAACAGUACUUUAGAUAGAAGGGCUGCCACCAGGACAUAGGGUAAUGUUUAUGAGAGGCACAGAAGGUUUGAUUAUCCUCCAUACAAACGGGUCCCCAAAGCAGAAACACAGAAUUCUGAAGCAGAUGCAGAAAUCCACAGAAGAACGCAAUUCUUGUCAGAGUAGGCUAGCAGUUUUGUGUUGUGCAUGGACACAGCACAAUGAAAGGACAGCUAAGGCAGCCAGUGCAAGGUACAGUUUUCUGGAUGAGAAGGGGAAAGUGUCUGCCUGUAAGUGAUGCAAUGUGCUGCUUUCAGGUGCAACUGCAGAGUGAGAUCGGGGGAAAAUCAUAGAGUAACAGUGGGUGGACAGCAGAAACCACCUGCUAAACAAGACAGUGUGGUCACUAAAACUGGAUUUGAGGGAGUGGAGAAGGAAUCUGAGGGGUGUCUCUGGUCAGUGUGUUCCCAGAGACCACACGGUUACCCCUGGAGGAUCAGUGCAGUUCUCAAGAAGAGAGCGGGAAGAAUAAGACUGGGACUGAGACUUUGACCUUAGUUGUCAUGACCUGAAGAGUUGAACAAUUAUUUUUUCUUGAAAAAUUGGCAGUUAAGUGGUAAUUGUGCCCG
ensembl:lncRNA